AUGGAAGAGCUUGUUCUCGAGAUAUUUUUUCGGCUGCCAGUGAAGUCCCUCCUGCGGUUCAAGUCUCUCAGCAAGGCCUGGUGCGCAACCAUCUCCGACCCCAUGUUCAUCCGGAGUCACCUUGAGCACCAGAAACCAUCGUGGCUCAUCACUCCCCACGCCUUGGACAGUACUAUCGAAGCUGAGGAGUGGCCAACCACCUUCUCAACCCAAACCCGCUUCUACCGGUGGCAGCUAGGGCUAGGUGUCUCCGAUACAAGGCUGAUGCAUGCAACUGACUUUCCCGGCGAGUUCAGCUCAAUCGCUCUCAUUGCCCACUGCGACGGUCUGGUGCUCUUCCCUACCAACACCAAGCUCUACCUCUUCAAUCCGGCCACCAGGGAGACAAUGACGUUGCCUGCAAGUAACCGUACCAAAACACAGUACAAACAUAUGUUCCUCCCGACGGGGUUUGGUUUGGACCAUCGCACUGGCAAGUACAAGGUAGUCCGGGCAUUCGUCCGCUCCAAAGAUCCUCUCACAGAAGUUUACCGCAUGGGGAUGGAAGUGUUCACUGUUGGUGAUGGUGAGGCAUGUACUUCUUGGAGGGAAACCACGACUGAUUUGCCUUACUCUGUGGUCGAGUGGAUAACCGGGAAAUUCGUAAACGGUGGAUUGUUUUGGGUCAUCGACAGGUUCCAUCUUGAGCAUGAUCGAAAUGGCUGCGUCCGCUUCAGCCUGGAAGAUGAGACGUUCCGCGUCAUUCGUCUACCGGAUCCCUUGCCAUUGGAUCGUGCACUCCAUGAAUCCUUUCUGUUGGACGUGAUUCAGCAGGGCAAGCUGUGCCUGACAGGUUUUACCAAGAGUGGGGGGGGAGUGGGGGUUUGGAUAUUGGUUGAAGAUGAUACUAACGUGAACUCGAGAUGGGAGCAUCGUUACUCUCUGUGUAUAUCAGAUCUGGUUCAGCCAAUGUCAUUUCUUCCAGGGGCGCAAUCAUGCUACAUUGUGGUCCCAAUUUCUACCAUUACGAGCUGCAGACGGCUUCUAACCCGUUGA
rnacentral:rRNA from 1 species